rnacentral:rRNA from 1 species
AACGUACGCUGGCGGCACGCCUAACACAUGCAAGUCGAACGAAGUAGCAAUACUUAGUGGCAGACGGGUGAGUAACAUGUAGGUAUCUGCCCCUUUGGCCUGGAAUAACACGAGGAAACUUGUGCUAAUACCGGAUAAGUCUUUACGGAGAAAGCUUUAUGCACCAUUGGAUGAGCCUGCACUUGAUUAGUUUGUUGGUGGGGUAAUGGCCUACCAAGACUGUGAUCAAUAGCUGAUUUGAGAGGAUGAUCAGCCACAUUGGGACUGAGACACGGCCCAAACUCCUACGGGAGGCAGCAGUGGGGAAUCUUGCACAAUGGAGGAAACUCUGAUGCAGCGAUGCCGCGUGAGUGAAGAAGGCCCUUGGGUUGUAAAGCUCUUUCGUCGGGGAAGAAAAUGACUGUACCCGAAUAAGAAGGUCCGGCUAACUUCGUGCCAGCAGCCGCGGUAAUACGAAGGGACCUAGCGUAGUUCGGAAUUACUGGGCUUAAAGAGUUCGUAGGUGGUUGAAAAAGUUAGUGGUGAAAUCCCAGAGCUUAACUCUGGAACUGCCAUUAAAACUUUUCAGCUAGAGUAUGAUAGAGGAAAGCAGAAUUUCUAGUGUAGAGGUGAAAUUCGUAGAUAUUAGAAAGAAUACCAAUUGCGAAGGCAGCUUUCUGGAUCAUUACUGACACUGAGGAACGAAAGCAUGGGUAGCGAAGAGGAUUAGAUACCCUCGUAGUCCAUGCCGUAAACGAUGUGUGUUAGACGUUGGAAAUUUAUUUUCAGUGUCGCAGGGAAACCGAUAAACACACCGCCUGGGGAGUACGACCGCAAGGUUAAAACUCAAAUGAAUUGACGGGGACCCGCACAAGUAGUGGAGCAUGUGGUUUAAUUCGAAGAUACGCGCAGAACCUUACCAACACUUGACAUGUUCGUCGCGACUCUAAGAGAUUAGAGUUUUCGGUUCGGCCGGACGAAACACAGGUGCUGCAUGGCUGUCGUCAGCCCGUGUCGUGAGAUGUUGGGUUAAGUCCCGCAACGAGCGCAACCCUCACUUUUAGUUGCCAUCAUUAAGUUGGGCACUCUGAAAGAACUGCCAGUGAUAAGCUGGAGGAAGGUGGGGAUGACGUCAAGUCCUCAUGGCCCUUACGUGUUGGGCUACACACGUGCUACAAUGGUAUCUACAACAGGAAGCAAGACUGCGAAGUUAAGCAAAUCCCUAAAAGAUACCUCAGUUCGGAUUGCACUCUGCAACUCGAGUGCAUGAAGCUGGAAUUACUAGUAAUCGUGGAUCAGCGUGCCACGGUGAAUGCGUUCCCGGGUCU